AAUUUUCUUUCAUGACUGGUAACUGCUCUUACGUAAGAGUUUUGCAAUCUCGAGACGAUCUCGAUAAUCGCGGUCAAUUAUUGUCUGAAGAGGUUGUCUAUUGACAUAGACGUAACUGACCAUGUCUACACAAAAUUAAAUACACAUAUUUUAUGGUAAAACAGUAAAAUUUAUGCUCCAAUCUUAUCUAUUUGAUUUAUGAUGCUAUCGAGAGAGUAAAGGAAAAUCUAAUAAAAAUACAUUUGGAAACAAUCCUUCAAUUAUUAAAUGUUUAUUUCAUUGAAUUGUAGAAUUUUGGUAUUUUGUGGAAAUGUGCGUGAAAUUGGGGUUUAAAAGUUGGUUCUUCUGUAAAUAAUGAAAUAUCAGUCCAAGAACAAAAUGAUAUACCAAUAUACUUUUAUUGUCUAAAGAACCUUCAAAAACUGCUUAAAAGAAUGGCACUAACUUGCAAUCACCCCAUAAAAUGCUGUAAAUGUAAAUUCCAAUUUUUUGCUUCAAAAGCAUUAGUGUUUAUUGAAAUAGUUAUCUAAACAAUGCAAUGAAUUGCUGAUAAAUUACCAGCUCCAUUAGCUUUGAAAAGCCCGGAAGUAAGCUGACAGGAAUAAUUAUGUAUUUACUUCUCUUUCUUCUGUUCUUACAAGGGAAUUUAUCAAUCAAAAUUUUGUUGCUGUGUCAUAUUGCCAUUUUUAUUAGAAUAAUUCGCUGUAAAGGUCAAUACAUUGGCUACCAUUAGAAUGAUAAUAUUUGUUGUUUAGAUGGGAGUUUCAUCAUCACUGUAAUAACUAACAAGUAUAGUUAUUGAAAGUAUUCAUUAUUAUCUUAAGAGAUAUUAAAUAGUGGGAGUGUUUCCGCGAAACAAUUAUUGCCAUUCUUUCUUAAAUGUGUUUGUAACUUCUUUAUCUUUAAGAGGCAAUGGUUAUAAUAAUGCGUUUUUCAGGGCUACCAACAACGAGACACAAUCAAAGCUAUUUAUAUAAUUUUAUUCAUUCCGCAUAUGGACAAAGAUUUGUCGUUUAAAUCUCCUCAAAGUCAAUUCUCAGCCUGGUGGACGCCCGGAGGCCGACUUUACACUGGACGUGCCCCGAUCCGAAUUGCUCUCCAAACGUCUUCGCGAAGACAAAAAAUGGAGAUUUCGAUGUCGCGUACUCACCUCCUUCCUCGGCCUGGUGUUCUUCCUGCUUUCUGUGAUGGCUGUAAGCAUGAUUCUGACCAGAGGCAAACGAAUGUUUGGAAGCAUGGUAUAGGCACGGAUGGAUUUCUAGUACAACGAAUAAUUCAGGAUUUUCAUAGGUUUUAAUUUUAGUCUUUGUGAAAGCGUUUUGAAUAUGUAAACAGUGUCGCAGCUGCCUGUUAAGGCCGAUUAUGAUUGGUAAGAGUACCUACUUACAAAGACUUUGCACAACGUAAUAAUGUAAAAUCUAAUCGACGUUAACUUGCCAAUGUGAAGAAACACGGAAUAUACAGGGUGGUUCGUUUAGAGUGCGCAGUUUCUUAAGUGCGGAUGCUGCAUACUAACACGCGUUCAUCUAGUUUAACAUAUGUACAAAGGAUGUAAGUGUUGCAGAUUUACAGGAGUUUUGAGGAUGGAAUCGCAAAUCAUCCAAAGUCAAAAAAACAUUGAGUAUGGCACUGGCAAUAUUUGUUUGUAGUCAAAACAUCUUAAGCUAUAAAUGAAGCGAAAAAUGUACAAUUUGUUCUUAUUUCUCUUAUCAGAAUUGCAAUUGAUGAAUUUAGGUCUGCUGUUCUGAAUUCCAUUCAACGUUUUUACCUCGUUUAUGACAUUCCUCGAGUUAUUCUGGCCGUUUUCAAGCGGCAAUUCAUGAAAGAAGUUUAGAAGAAUUCUCACUCUAAAUAUGUAAACUUUGUUGAAUAGAAUUUUUCUCAUUCUUCUUUCGCUUGGUUCUAGAGUUUGUCACUAAACUCCUUGAACAGUUUCUGUUCAUGCAAGUUAUUCUCCAUUAAUAACAAUUUUAAAUUAUGCUACUUGCGAUAUUUUAACGUAAAUCUCACAAUAAUACAGGGUGAUUUGUACGAGUGGCCAAUUUUUGAACUGGUCUAGCUUAAUUUGGGCCCAGAGAAAGCAAAAUCGGGGAUUUUGUUGCCAAAGUUAAACUUCGUAAGUGCAAUUAUUUUUUUUGCACACUUUAACAGCACAACAGAAAUUAUUAUAUACGAUUUCCCAUAAUGAAUGGAAGAUAGCGAAACACCGAUUCCUGGAAUAAAAACAACUGAACUUUAUGAGAAAUUUUACAUAUAUUCAAAAAUUAUAUUAUAUUUGGAAAAUUUAUCGUGGGACAACUUGUAGCAUCAUAUACACAACAUUGUAUACACAACUAAAUCAGGGUGUCCCAAUGAAGUAGCGCCAACUCCCGAUUAUAAACGAAUUUUUCUAAAAACUUAAGUCUUGAUGUCUCAUAUUUUUUCCUUAUUUUUCCAAUAAUAGUUUAUCUGCUAGUGCUUGAAUUUGACUGUUUAUCGUGCUCUUUAUUAAGACUAGUCCGAAUUUUGUUUCACAAAUUGAUCCGUUUCUGUAAAGGCUAAACAUUUGUUCACAGGAAAAUUCCGUUUAAAUCGUACAACUAAUUUAACUGAUUUUCAAAUCUAGCAUUUCUCGAAAAUUCUUCACUCUUAAAAUCGAGAACGAAUGUGUAUUUUGGUCUUAUAGUCAAAUUUGAUUAGAUGUUAAGUUUAUAUUCAUUAAAGCACUUUGAAAAAUCGAGAUUAUUAGUUAUUUUCCUUACAGAAACUUAUUUAAUUUUCCAUCUUGAUUUUCCAUCUUGAAUCUUAAAGCAGUAAAAGUAAUGUUUGGGAAUCAUUUACAAUCAUGCAAAUCUAUCUGAAAAUAUUUUCAAUCUUAUUAGAGGAAAUUGUUGUCUAAUAAACAUGAAAAUUGAAAGCAAUAAAAACACAAUUAGUGCGUUUUUAGUUGCAAUAUUUCGCAUCGGUUUUUGGACAAAAAAGGUAUGAUCGGAAUCGACUACUUCGGAAUACGUACUUGGAGAUACACUUUGAAACCCUUGUAUUGUUAUCUUAUGAGGCGAUUGCUGCGGCACUGUUAACUCAUAUAAUCGAUUUAUUGUUUUUGUAAUGGACAAACUGCCUUAUUCCGUUAUUGUACUUGUGAUGUGAUUAACGAUUCUGUAUAACGAGUGAUUAAGUAUUUAUUAUUGAAAAUUGUAUUUAUAAUAAAUAAAUAACAUUGAUUAAUAAAUUUACUUUCCGUUCUUAAUUUUUUAAAAUAAACGUUCGGAAGAGGUAUUUCGUUUUCAAUAUUUGUAACUUUCCAUGUCCACUUUGGACGUAUUGAGUACAACUAUUCUACAAAUUUUAUCCUAUACUUGGGAUCAACAAAUGCAAUACUUAUAAUACGCUUGCUUCAUACUCAAAGUACUAAAAAGUGCACUGGAUGAAAUUUAUAGAAAAUGUUUUGUAUCGUUGGUUUAUAAAAUCAAAUGGCUAGAAGUAGUCUCUUCAAAAACUAUGGCCAAGAGCUUGCAAAAAUCGCAUCCAUAUUAAGGCCCCUAAAAUGCCGACGUUCGAAUUUCACUCUGUAACUGUCCCAAUAGCCAAAUUUUAUUUGAUUUUUAAUUUCCUUGUAAAUUGAUAUCGUCCGGUUUUACUUUUUUCCAUUUUCUCUUCACCAAUUUGUCUUGUUUAUUCAUUCACAAAAUACGACACUGUUAGAUUUAUUUUUGGCUCUACUUCUACUUUCCAUAAUUUCUAACUGGUUUAAGAAGAUGGUUUUGAGAUGGUUUUGAGAUGGUAUGAGACACAAUUACACUUUUAAUUUUUGCAUUGUCACACCAUUUAUUUUAGGCAAUUAUUUCAACUUUAAGAUUGAAGAAUUACUGUAUACUGUGAUCACCUCAUUUUUCUUUAAUGUUGUGGUAAUUUCUGACUGAUAAGGGGAAAGAAAGAACACAUUUUUUCCACACAAUGUAUAUAAAAUACGAUAAUUCCCUUCCUGCUUUCAAUAUAUUUACUUAUUUUGA